rnacentral:rRNA from 1 species
UACAGAGGUCUCAAGCGUUGUUCGGAUUCAUUGGGCGUAAAGGGUGCGUAGGCGGCGCGGUAAGUCGGAUGUGAAAUCUCGGAGCUUAACUUCGAAACUGCAUUCGAUACUGCCGUGCUUGAGGACUGGAGAGGAGACUGGAAUUUACGGUGUAGCGGUGAAAUGCGUAGAUAUCGUAAGGAAGACCAGUGGCGAAGGCGGGUCUCUGGACAGUUCCUGACGCUGAGGCACGAAGGUCAGGGGAGCAAACAGG